CCUACGGGAGGCAGCAGUAGGGAAUCUUCCACAAUGGGCGAAAGCCUGAUGGAGCAACGCCGCGUGGGUGAAGAAGGUCUUCGGAUCGUAAAACUCUGUUGUUAGAGAAGAAAGUGCGUGAGAGUAACUGUUCACGUUUCGACGGUAUCUAACCAGAAAGACACGGCUAACUACGUGCCAGCAGCCGCGGUAAUACGUAGGUGGCAAGCGUUAUCCGGAUUUAUUGGGCGUAAAGGGAACGCAGGCGGUCUUUUAAGUCUGAUGUGAAAGCCUUCGGCUUAACCGGAGUAGUGCAUUGGAAACUGUGAGACUUGAGUGCAGAAGAGGAGAGUGGAACUCCAUGUGUAGCGGUGAAAUGCGUAGAUAUAUGGAAGAACACCAGUGGCGAAGGCGGCUCUCUGGUCUGUAACUGACGCUGAGGUUCGAAAGCGUGGGUAGCAAACAGGAUUAGAUACCCGGGUAGUC
rnacentral:rRNA from 1 species